rnacentral:rRNA from 1 species
GACGAACGCUGGCGGCGUGCCUAAUACAUGCAAGUCGAGCGGGGCUUGAGGAGGGCUUGCCCUUCGUGAGCCCAGCGGCGGACGGGUGAGUAACACGUGGGUAACCUGCCCGUAAGACCGGGAUAACUCCGGGAAACCGGGGCUAAUACCGGAUAACACCGGGGGCCGCAUGGCUUCCGGUUGAAAGGCGGCCUUUGGCUGCCACUUACGGAUGGGCCCGCGGCGCAUUAGCUGGUUGGCGGGGUAACGGCCCACCAAGGCGACGAUGCGUAGCCGGCCUGAGAGGGUGGACGGCCACACUGGGACUGAGGCACGGCCCAGACUCCUACGGGAGGCAGCAGUAGGGAAUCUUCCGCAAUGGGCGAAAGCCUGACGGAGCGACGCCGCGUGAGCGAGGAAGGCCUUCGGGUCGUAAAGCUCUGUUGUCAGGGAAGAAGGCGCGCCGUUCGAAUAGGGCGGCGCGGUGACGGUACCUGACGAG